GGGUGGUAAUGCCGGAUGUUCCAGUUGAUCGCAUGGUCUUCUGGGAAAGCUUUCGCGGUAUGGGAUGGGGUCGCGUCCUAUCAGCUUGACGGCGGGGUAACGGCCCACCGUGGCUUCGACGGGUAGCCGGCCUGAGAGGGCGACCGGCCACAUUGGGACUGAGAUACGGCCCAGACUCCUACGGGAGGCAGCAGUGGGGAAUAUUGCACAAUGGGCGCAAGCCUGAUGCAGCGACGCCGCGUGAGGGAUGGAGGCCUUCGGGUUGUAAACCUCUUUUAUCGGGGAGCAAGCGUGAGUGAGUUUACCCGUUGAAUAAGCACCGGCUAACUACGUGCCAGCAGCCGCGGUAAUACGUAGGGUGCAAGCGUUAUCCGGAAUUAUUGGGCGUAAAGGGCUCGUAGGCGGUUCGUCGCGUCCGGUGUGAAAGUCCAUCGCUUAACGGUGGAUCCGCGCCGGGUACGGGCGGGCUUGAGUGCGGUAGGGGAGACUGGAAUUCCCGGUGUAACGGUGGAAUGUGUAGAUAUCGGAAAAAAAACACCA
rnacentral:rRNA from 1 species